ACGUGUUCAACUUUUCCUUCAUUGGAGAAAAGCUCUCACAUUGUCACGGCCAAGCAAGGAAAAUACAAUGGUGCACAAGUUGGCUGCAAUUAAAAUUAGCACUUUCCAUUUUUAUUUAAUUGGAUUUUGAGCUGAAUGUGAUCCAAAGGAAGUAAGCAAAGGGGCCCAUGAGAAAUAUAAAAGUGCAGCAGCUUGGAAAAUACCACACGACCCAUUUGAAUCAGCAACACAUCCAACAAAAUAUAUUUUGGAGGUGCAGCCACAUGGCAUGUGGUUUUUAAUUGGAGAAGCACUUAAUUUGGUGAUUCAUUUUCUUAUCUUCUCUUGGAGAAAGAAGAGCGUUGUUGCUACUGAGGGCUGCAUCCGGUCACGUCCAACAAGGAAGUUUCCCAAAGAAUUGGUGAUUCAAUUUCUUUUAAGUGGACAUUGCUUACGGGCUUCAACAUUUAUAGCAUCCAGUUGACACGACCCAAAGAAUGAACAUGCUGCCACAAGGCCCUGCAGACCAACUCCAUUCACGGUCGAGCAUGCUGUCCAAGAGGAGCAUCACAGCCUUGGUCCAACACGUGAAGAGCUGCAACCAUUAUUUUCCUCAUCCAGCAGCUACAGCAACUUGGAGUCCACACGACCUAAGGAGAGCAGGAGCGAUCCAGCAUGGCCUGCACUUAUUUGAUUAUAUCUUCAGCCAGCAACCCACGUAAUAGUAGCUUGGGAAGAAAAAAAAAUCCUGCCUUCAUACCAUCCAACAAGCAUCACGGCCUUGGCCCACCUUCCAAUUUUAUUUGAAGCACACAGCUGCAGCAUAAUCUAGUAACUCACGUUCACCAUGACCACUCACGGCCCAAGCAGGAGCUGGCAGCAACAUUUGGAGAAGAAACAUCUUCACACAGCCUUCAC
rnacentral:lncRNA from 1 species